CUGGAUGUGAUGGAACCCCCAACGCCGUGAAUUUCAGUGAUGCUGGAUGUAUUCAUACUGUCUGAUCCAG